rnacentral:rRNA from 1 species
CAUCACCUCUAGCAUUACAAGUAUUAGAGGCACUGCCUGCCCAGUGACUAGCGUUAAACGGCCGCGGUAUCCUGACCGUGCAAAGGUAGCAUAAUCAUUUGUUCCUUAAUUAGGGACUGGAAUGAACGGCUUGACGAGGGUUUAACUGUCUCUUAUUUCUAAUCAGUGAAAUUGACCUCCCCGUGAAGAGGCAGGGAUAAUCUAAUAAGACGAGAAGACCCUAUGGAGCUUUAAUUUACUAGUCUAACCACAACAACAAUCAACCUAAUGGUACAACACAAACAAGUAUAGACUAAUAAUUUUGGUUGGGGUGACCUCGGAGCAUAAAAAAACCUCCGAAUGAUUUUAACUAAGACACACAAGUCUAAGUAAUUACAUAUCUAAUUGACCCAAAAUUAUUUGAUCAACGGACCAAGUUACCCUAGGGAUAACAGCGCAAUCCUAUUCAAGAGUCCAUAUCGACAAUAGGGUUUACGACCUCGAUGUUGGAUCAGGACAUCCCAAUGGUGCAGAAGCUAUUAAUGGUUCGUUUGUUCAACGAUUAAAGUCCUACGUGAUCA